AGUGAACGCUGGCGGCAGGCCUAACACAUGCAAGUCGAACGGUAACACAAAACGAGUUGGUUUUUCGCGGAGGAGAGGGGGGCGGGGGAGGAAAGUCUGUCGGACUUCCUUUUGUAGUGGGGUAACUACUGGGGACGGUAGCGAAUAUAGCAUAUCCUACCUACAGGUGAAAGGAGGACCCUUUCGGCUCUUGCGCGCGUAUGUGCCCAGAUGGCGUUAGCUUGUUGGCGGGGGAACGGCCCACCAAGGGGACGAUACCUAGCUGGGCUGAGAGGAGGAACAGCCACACUGGAACUGAGACACGGUCCAGACUCCUACGGGAGGCAGCAGUGGGGAAUAUUGGACAAUGGGCGCAAGCCUGAUGCAGCCAUGCCGCGUGUAUGAAGAAGGCCUUCGGGUUGUAAAGCACUUUUAGCGGGGAGGAAGGGUGUAACGUUAAUACCUCCGUUCAUUGACGUUACCCGAAGAAGAAGCACCGGCUAACUUCGUG
rnacentral:rRNA from 1 species